ensembl:lncRNA
GCCUCGUGGUGUGUGAGCACUGGGGCUUGAGUCCAGGCCAACACACGCUGAAAAAAGAAUGAGAGCUAAUCAGAGCGAUGCUCUCCAGCAGGCUUCUGUGCGCGGCGUUACAGUGAAAUCUGAAAUUCCUUUUGCUGCUCAUGCAUACAAAGCAGGAAGAGCGAGCACGGCUGCAGACUGUUUGUGCUUUCAGAUGGUUUUGCCAAGGAGAAAACAACAGGGUAGCGGGAAGAAAGCACACUUGCUCGGAAACACGUCUGGAGUGCAGCUCCCCAGGGCUCACCCUAGGGCAGGGCAGGGGCACAGAGAGCCCUGCAGCCAUCCCAGCAUACACCCACACCUCCUGCUGCACGGCGGGGUCAGCAGCCUGCAGAGGAACAUGCGGGACACGUCGUUCCUCCUGCCCUGCUCGGCAGCCCUGCUGCGCAGUGUCACAUGAAGCGAAGCACUGAUUAGAAAGUAUUCAUAGAAUGGCUUGGGUUGGAAGAGACCCUGAAGACCACCCAGUUCCGACCCCUGCGUGGGUUGGGCACCCUCUGCAGCUUAGGCUGCCCAGGCCCUACCAGCCUGGCCUUGGGUCCCUCCAGGGAUGGAGCAUUAGGUGGGUCCCUCUGGCUUGCUGCACACAGCCGUGGUGGCUGGGAACAAGCACCCAUCUGUUUUCUUUGUUUCCAAGUGACACUCAGUCCCCGAGAUUAUCUCCCCUUGACUGUGACAACGUGGAAGAAGGCAUUGGGAUCGACAAGCAGACAAGUGCUCCCGUGUUCCACAUCCAUCCAUCUGAUGCGGGCUCGUUGCAGGCGGAACCCCUCCCUGCGAUGUCUUACGUGCGUGGAGAGAGAGAGGCGCUGGGGGCUGUGGUUAGGGCUGGGUGGCAUCGGGUGAGGCUGGGGAGGCGAGGAGAGGAGGUGAGCGAGAGGAGCGCUUUGGUGAGGCUGCACCCCCCUCUGCUGGAGAAACCCAGCAAGGACACAGGCAGGGAAAGGGGUGUGGAAAACCCCUUGGUGGGAUUGGAACGUAUGGAAUCACAGAGCCACGGAGUGAUGGAACGAUUUAGGCUGGAAGGGACCUUAAAGAUCACAGAAUGAGAGAAUGGUUGAGUUGGAAGGGACACCAAAGUCCCCCAGCCCCAAUCCCUGCCAUGGGCUGGGUGCCUCCCAUUUCAGGCUGCACGGAACCCCAUCCGUGGCCUCAGGCACCUACAGGGAUGGGGCAGCACAGCUCUGGGCAGCAC